UUAUGGAUUUGGAUGCAAGCCCUUGGCUGUAGCAGGUUUUGCAGCCCUGAGGGCAGGGCUCGCCUCAGGGUCGCCAUUUGGGAGCGCUCACGCGCCUCUCCUCAGGGGCGGUAGGGCGGGAAGGCGCGACUCCUGCUGGCCACUGACGGUUCUGGAGGGUUCUGGACAUUUCUGUCCAGUUCUGGACGGUUCACGGCAAUUCUGGGCGGUUCUGUCCAUUUCUAGGCAACUUGGGGCAAUUCUGGGCGGUUCUGUCCAGUUCUGGGUGCUUCCAGGUGGUUCUGGGGGGUUCCAGCCAGCUCCAGAGUGUUGGCUGAUGCCUCUGGGAAAGGGUCUUGAAGAAAGGGAAAAAAAAAAAAAAAAGCCACCCAAACCAGCAGGAAACAGCUGAGGGAACACAAAGAUCAGUGGAGCAGGUGCUCCAGGUCCAGGUGUUGGAGAGCCCGCUGUGGAGCCGGGGGAGAGCAUGAGGAGGAAGGAGCAGCAGAGGGGAGCCAGUAGGGGCCAGCUGUGGCCCCACACCCUGUCCUGAGGCACAGGUGCUUGGUCUGAUAUUGGCAAUGCAGCUGGAGUAAGGCCUGCACGCUGUGAUUAUUACCUGUGAUUAAACCCUGAAGGAAAAGGACAGCUUUUCCACAUGGGAUGCUGGUAUCAUCUGCUGUGAACAAAAGGGUACAACAGAGGUCCUGGUUGCCAGCGCAGGAUGUGAUGCAGAGGUGUAAACCCAGCAGGAGAAAACAGCUCAGGUUUGUUGUGGACUGAAGACAAAUAUCACUGAUAAAAUGAAGGUCAGCAAUUUAACAGCUUCUUGCAGAAAAGAUUUUGAGGAACCUUUGAAACAUCUGCUGGCAAAAUCUGAUGAGAAGACAGUAGUGUGCUUGAAGCAGAAAUUCUAAGAACGAAACUGUAGCCAUUUCCAAGAGAUGAUAAGAAGAUGCAGCUCUUCACAGGGAGGAACAAUAUGAUGUCUCCUGUGAGGACCUGAUGGAGCAGAAAUAAUACUGUGUUUUAGGAGAUCUUCCUCCUUGUAGCAUGUAUACUAAACAGGUUAAUAAACCAGUAGCUGGUGAUCAAUUUAUGUAAAAUAACUCUUAAGCAGCAAGCCCGAUCUGAAAAUUACUUGAUAAACUAUUCAGUAAAUGUUAUCUGCAUAAAUAACACACAGGAAUAAAUUGGAACCAGUUUGAGACCAUAAAAGGAGGGCUACAUUUGCAGCAUGGUUCAGAGACUGUAAAUCAAAUCAAACCAAUUUUGUCUCCUGUUCCACCUUUUAUUAGAUAAUCAAAAUUCAGAUCAGUCUCAUGAAAAGAUUUCCUUGUACUGCUUGAAUCUCAUAAGUAAGCCUGGCUCUACUUGCAAGUGAGUACCACCUCUAAAAGAGAUGGAAACAGUGCCUGCUCACAUCCCAAGUGCGAAAUAGCUGGGAAGUAAAAUACAUUUCAAGAAACAUUUUGUUUGAAUUUUGAGAUGAACUGGAGUAGAAGGUGCUUAGAAAAGUGAUGGGAAGUGGCUCCAUGUUAGAGGCAUAACACAUGGAGAACUCUUAAACUUCAUGGGAAAUUAACAGGCAUAGCUGAAGUGGGUAAUUUCAAGAAUGCAGCCCUAGGAGUUGAUGCGGACCUGCGAAUAACAUUACAUCCAAAAACUGUGUUAUUAAAAUUAACACAUUAUUGACUAGCAUGGAAAAAAAAAUGACAGAGGAAAUCCGUCAGCAGCAUGAAAGUCUGAUCAUGACAGGCCAGCUCAAAUGGCAGGUGUUGUGCAGCUUGGCAAGAAGCUGCAGGAUCUCGGGGACGGCUUGGAGAAAAGAGCUGCUGCAGAAGAAACAAGUUCACUGCGAAGAGCACUGCACUUAGGAGAAGGGCCUCUAGCAGAGGCAAUCUAGUGAAGCCAACUUCAGCUUAGACAAGAAAGAUGUACUGGCAAUAUUUUGUCAUACAGAAAAAAAUUAAAUUCUUACCCAGAAUAAGGAGAAAAAUAAUUGAAAUCUAGUGUGAUUGUGAAAUUCCCUGUGUGGUAAUCCAAUCUGGAGACAAUCAGCCACGGACAGCUUUAUCUGUCAUUGCCUGACAAGCAGAAUUUCCAAAGCAAAAUUUCCAAAGGAGCCAGCAGCGAUUGCUGUUAGCGGCAUAUUACGUCAUCUGUCGUAAGGGCAGAGCCGAGCACCUCCUGUGGCAACUGUUCACGCAUAAACUCAUGUUGUUGGGACACAAGGGUGUUUGCUGUAAAUUGCUGUUGGUUUCACUGGGAAUAAAACACGCCCUUAUAAAGUUGCUAAUAGACCACACAUUGACCAACUGUAACUUCCUUGGCUCUGUUUGCUUACACCAUCAGCUGAAGACUCUGCAUUAGGCAAAGUUUAAUAUGAAGUGACCAGCUGGGAUCUCUAGUGGACAGGGCUGUAGAUGUGAUGAGCUUGAAAGUAAGAUAACUACGUGCUGCCCAAGAUGAUGCACUUGUCUGUGCCUCUCUUUCUUGAAUGAGAUGUUUCGAUGUCUUAUUAGCCCAUCGGUAGAACAGGAUUGCAGGCACUCCUGUUGUGGAGUGAUUGGCAGUGAGAGGCUGCCUGCUUGCAACAGAACUUUCUAUGUGAAAUGCUCAAUUUAUCGAACCGAAUCAGAGUGUGAGUGAUAAGAAGUAUCUGCAAUACAAUUCUGCACAGUGCUCUGCACAGCCCAUACCAGGCCAGUUUUAAUUAUCCCCAGAAACUAAACCAGACAUGAGUUCACUUGGCCUGGGGCCUCCUAGGAUCUGUGGUACACAGCACCAAACAAGGAGGUUCCCUGCCUCAGAUGAAGCCCUGUUAUGUUACAAAAAAAAACAAACCCUGCUUAGUACUUGUUACGUUACACUGACUACGUUAAAGGAAUGAUUUAUAGGUACAGAGAAAAAAAAAAAUAAGGCAAAGUGUGUGUCUUAACAAGGUCUACCAAGGUUACAAAUUCUGAUAAAAAAAAAAAUCAUUUACAUUGAGGUAUUUGUUUAAUUUAUUUCAGGUGAGGUCAAAUCUUUGAUUCUUUCUUUAAAUAACUGGGAAGUUUUUACAGAUUCUAUAAUGUGUUCAAGGUAGGUUAUGCUUUUGCAAGAGAGCUGCAAAUACUUAUGUUCUGAUGGAGGUGGUACUAAACAAAGAAGAGUUACAUAAAUGCCUUGUAGCAUAGGCUUCAUGUGUUAGGAAUAUUAAAAAUAACUCCUCAAUGCUCACAGGGUCUUAUUUCAGUAAAGCGUGCUAUGUUUUCCAUCCUUUUAUGCAUGACUUCAACUACAAAACCAUUAUGGAAUUGAAAUGUAUCUGAAUAUCCAAUCUAUAAUGCCCCUUGGCAAAACCCAAGUGAAAAUAAGGGGUCCAAAGAGGGAAAAUGCAUUUAAUAUUCAUAUACGGAUUGACUAUAUAGUCAAUACACCGGCUUGCCUUGUUGAUUAGUCUUAAGUGUAACCGUUUUGUGUCCAAUGUCCAUAAAGCAGCAGCGAAGCAGCAGACAAAAAAUGACAUUUUCUUAAACAGAGAAGUGGUACCAAACGUAAAUCUGACUUUGCACGUUUUUGAUUGGCAAGAUACAUGGUUUGAGGCUUUCUGUUACGAGACCAGGCCCAGCUUCGAACACCUGGAUGCAGUCUUCCUAAGGAUUCAGGGAGGGUCUUGAAGUCACGCUCUCUUAACUUUGCUUUCCAAUUUUAUAUGAAAUGAUAGCAAAUCU